rnacentral:rRNA from 1 species
AGUGAACGCUGGCGGUAGGCCUAACACAUGCAAGUCGAACGGCAGCACAGUAAGAGCUUGCUCUUACGGGUGGCGAGUGGCGGAAGGGUGAGGAAUACAUCGGAAUCUACUUUUUCGUGGGGGAUAACGUAGGGAAACUUACGCUAAUACCGCAUACGACCUACGGGUGAAAGCAGGGGAUCUUCGGACCUUGCGCGAUUGAAUGAGCCGAUGUCGGAUUAGCUAGUUGGCGGGGUAAAGGCCCACCAAGGCGACGAUCCGUAGCUGGUCUGAGAGGAUGAUGAGCCACACUGGAACUGAGACGCGGUACAGACUCCUACGGGAGGCAGAAGUGGGGAAGAUUGGACGAUGGGCGGAAGCCUGAUCCAGGCAUACCGCGUGGGUGAAGCAGGCCUUCGGGUUGUAAAGCCCUUUUGUUGGGGAAGAAAAGCAGCAGGUUAAUACCCCGCUGUUCUGACGGUACCCAAAGAAUAAGCACCGGCUAACUUCGUG